rnacentral:rRNA from 1 species
UGGGGAAUAUUGGACAAUGGGGGAAACCCUGAUCCAGCGACGCCGCGUGUGUGAAGAAGGCCUGCGGGUUGUAAAGCACUUUUAGUGGGGACAAAAAGCUACGGAUUAAUACUCUGUGGUCUUGAUUUAACCCAAAGAAAAAGCACCGGCUAACUCUGUGCCAGCAGCCGCGGUAAUACAGAGGGUGCGAGCGUUAAUCGGAAUUACUGGGCGUAAAGCGCGCGUAGACGGUUUUGUAAGUCAGAUGUGAAAUCCCUGGGCUCAACCUGGGAACUGCAUUUGAGACUGCAUGGCUAGAGUAUCGAAGAGGGAAGUGGAAUUUCCGGUGUAGCGGUGAAAUGCGUAGAUAUCGGAAGGAACACCAGUGGCGAAAGCGACUUCCUGGUCGAAUACUGACGUUCAUGUGCGAAAGCGUGGGGAGCAAACAGGAUUAGAUACCCUGGUAGUCCACGCCAUAAACGAUGACAACUAGAUGUUGGGAGGGUCUGCCUCUCGGUGUCGCAGCUAACGCGUUAAGUUGUCCGCCUGGGGAGUACGGCCGCAAGGU